rnacentral:rRNA from 1 species
UACAGAGGGUGCGAGCGUUAAUCGGAGUAACUGGGCGUAAAGGGCGCGUAGGCGGUGAUGUGAGUGUGAUGUGAAAGCCCCGGGCUUAACCUGGGAAGUGCAUCGCAAACGACAUGACUGGAGUAGAUGAGAGGGUGGCGGAAUUUCCGGUGUAGCGGUGAAAUGCGUAGAUAUCGGGAGGAACACCUGUGGCGAAAGCGGCUCACUGGACCAUAACUGACGCUGAUGCACGAAAGCUGGGGGAGCAAACAGG